rnacentral:sRNA from 1 species
AAGGAUAACGUUGCGUCAGCAACGGCCCGAAGGGCGAGGCGAAGCCGAGUCAUCCUGCACGACCCACCA